AAGACUAUAGACCUGCGGAGUACCUGCGGAGGGAUCAUUAUUGAAUAAACUUAGUGGGUUGUCGCUGGCUCCUUGGAGCAUGUGCACGCCUGCUGACUUUAUCCAUCCACCUGUGCACUUUCUGUAGUCUUAGAAAAUGAAAGGCAACUAGACUCUCGAAUUGACUUUUUGCAAUUCGGAUGUGAGGAAUGCUAUCAUAGCUCUCCUCAAAAGGUUGUAUUCACUCUCACAGACUAUGAU
rnacentral:misc_RNA from 1 species